AUAGCAAAAGACAGGUUAAAAUAAGAAUAUCAGAACUUUAUACUCUGCAAAUUAUUUUGAAUAUCUUUCCUAUUGUUAUGCAUAGACUUCUCGAUUAUAAUUUUUAUUUAUACUUACAUUAUUCUAGAACUUUACUUUGAAUAUUAAUAUGUUCAAAAUUUCAAAAAAUUAUCAUACCAUCCCAAAGGCCUGCAGCAGGCGUUGACACAAUGUGAUUUCUGCCCAGUGCUCUGAAUGCCAAAGAAAUUCAGUGAAGCACGGGUAAAUGGGGGGAGUUACUAGGACUCUAUUAAGGUAGCCAAAUGCCUCAUCAUCUAAUUAGUGAUGUGCAUGAAUGGAUGAAGGAGACUCCCACUGCCCCUCCCUCCUAUCCAAUGUAACCACAGCCAAGGGAACGAGUUUGGCAGAAUCAGCGGGGGAAAAACAAUGCUGUAGAGCUUGUCUGGCUUGGUGGAGAGACAUAAGAGGUGCAGAAACGUUCAUAGCCAUGUGGCUUUCUGAUCCUUUGAUAUCAGCUCUUCCUAUCAUUGUGAAGCAGAAUUCAUCAAGGGUUGGAUUGUUCACCCACUACUAGGGAACAUGAGCUGGGUUUAGACCGUCGUGAGACAGGUUAGUUUUACCCUACUGACGAUAUGG
rnacentral:ncRNA from 1 species